ACGGAAGGCAGCAGUGGGGAAUAUUGGUCAAUGGGCGGAAGCCUGAACCAGCCAAGUCGCGUGAAGGAUGAAGGUAUUAAGUAUUGUAAACUUCUUUAGCAGCAGAGUAAUAAGGGAGUCGAGACUCCUGAUGCAAGUAUGCUGAAAAUAAGGAUCGGCUAACUCCGUGCCAGCAGCCGCGGUAAUACGGAGGAUCCGAGCGUUAUCCGGAUUUAUUGGGUUUAAAGGGUGCGCAGGCGGCUUUUUAAGUCAGCGGUUAAAUCGUGAGGCUCAACCGCAUCUCGCCGUUGAUACUGGAGAGCUUGAUUGCGGUCGAGGUUGGCGGAAUUCGUCGUGUAGCGGUGAAAUGCAUAGAUAUGACGAAGAACACCGAUUGCGUAGGCAGCUGACCAGACCGUAAAUGACGCUCAUGCACGAAAGUGCGGGGAUCGAACAGGAUUAGAUACCCUGGUA
rnacentral:rRNA from 1 species